UUCGCAAUGCCCGAAAGGGUGACGAAGCGACGCCGCGUGUGGGAAGAAGGCCUUCGGGUUGUAAACCACUGUUGGGAGUUAGGAAGUGUGGGGGUGUUAAUAGCGCUUUCACUUGACUAAAGCUCCAGAGGAAGCCACGGCUAACUCUGUGCCAGCAGCCGCGGUAAUACAGAGGCUGCAAGCGUUGUUCGGAAUUAUUGUGCGUAAAGAGCACGUAGGCGGCCGCGUAAGUCGGUUGUGAAAGCCUUCCGCUCAACGGAAGGACGGCAUCCGAUACUGCAUGGCUCGAGUGCGGGAGGGGAGAGUGGAACUUCUGGUGGAGCGGUGAAAUGCGUAGAUAUCAGAAGGAACGCCGGCGGCGAAAGCGGCUCUCUGGCCCGUAACUGACGCUGAGUGUGCGAAAGCUAGGGGAGCAAACGGGAUUAGAUACCCCGGUAGUCCUAGCCGUAAACGAUGGGCACUAAGUAGAGGGGUUUU
rnacentral:rRNA from 1 species